rnacentral:lncRNA from 1 species
GCGCCAGGGUCAAAGUUCGUGGCUAUUUUCCUCACGCCUUGGCUUGUCUUGGGAGACCACCUUGGGAGAGCUCGUGAGGUCGACCGGGUCUCUUGCUGGAUUUUUCACAGCUCCUGGUCAUCCUUAAGGGACACUUUCCGCCUGGCGCUUGUCAAUAUUUCCUGCUCGCAGACCGGGGAAUUGCGUUUCCUUGCUUUGCGUUCAGUGGACCUCAGUUUACUGCUAGAGAAAAACAAAAAGUGUGGACCCAGCUAAGUGCUUAACGGGGUCUGGGCACAUUUUAAAGUGGAUGCCAUGUGAAUACCAAUACUCUGUAGGCAGAGGCAGGAAGGUCGCCUCAAGUUUGAACCCAGUCUGGGGUAUCUGGCUAGACCUUGUCUCAAUAGUCAAGUUAAAAAAAAAAAAAGAAAGAUACAAAGAAAGAACGAAAGAAAGAAAGAAAGAAAGGGUGAAAAAAAAGAAAU